GUUAGAGAAGCUGACACAAAGGAGAACCCGUCACGAAAGCCUCUCAUUAAGAUGUGUCAUUCACUUGCUUGUUUCAAUCUGGACAGAGCAUUGUAAUGCUUAUGUCAAGAAUCUCCUAUCUCAAGUUUGUGUAGACAGCGCUUACCAUUUAUGCUUUGCCUUGUCAAUAAAAGUCAAUCACCCAAUGGCAGGGCAGAAGAGAGAACAGAGCUGAACUUCCACCAGCCAGGGGAGAAGGAGAGAGAGAAGAAUAAGGCAGAUUCCACCAUGAGGAGUCUACACUAAAAGCCCCCACAUGGCACGGCCCCUGCGGAACGCUCUGUCGUAAGGUGAUUGUCCCAUGCCUGACAGUUCGACCACCACUGCUCUGCACACUUUGUUUCCUCCUGUGGGGACCACUGGCAGGCAGCGCCUUCACGUCCAUGGCUGAAGUCCAGUAUGGCUGACGGAUUUCGAAAGGAGAGGACGGACGUGUGCUUUUCUCUCCCACCUGACUGUCCUUAUUUUGGAAUUUGAAGUGGAUAAUGGAGGAGAUGGUAAUCCACACUGUACUUCAACAAGACUUAGAUACAGUUAUGGUUACCAUGUAUAUAGUCUGUUGGCUCGUCUUUCUAGCACGGCUGCAAACUCCCUUAGAAGACAACUGAUCUCAUUCUUCCUGCUUCCCAGAGGUGAGCCCAGCCCUUAGGACCAAGGAAUGGCUCUGUAAAUGCCGGUGGAUUAAAGGUGACAUUGUAAACAAUGA